rnacentral:rRNA from 1 species
ACGGAAGGCAGCAGUGGGGAAUAUUGCACAAUGGGGGAAACCCUGAUGCAGCGAUGCCGCGUGGAGGAAGAAGGUUUUCGGAUUGUAAACCUCUGUCAACAGGGACGAUAAUGACUGUACUUGUGAAGGAAGCUCCGGCUAACUACGUGCCAGCAGCCGCGGUAAUACGUAGGGAGCAAGCGUUAUCCGGAAUUACCGGGUGUAAAGGGAGUGUAGGCGGGACUGUAAGUCAGAUGUGAAAUAUGCCGGCUCAACUGGCAGACUGCAUUUGAAACUGCGGUUCUUGAGUGAAGUAGAGGUAAGCGGAAUUCCUAGUGUAGCGGUGAAAUGCGUAGAUAUUAGGAGGAACAUCAGUGGCGAAGGCGGCUUACUGGGCUUUAACUGACGCUGAGGCUCGAAAGCGUGGGGAGCAGACAGGAUUAGAUACCCUGGUA